GUCCCUCUAGUUUAGCGGUUAGAACACUGCCCUUGCACGGCGGCGGCCGGGGUUCGAUUCCCCGUGGGGACGCCA
rnacentral:tRNA from 1 species